GACCUCGGAUCAGGCGUGAAUACCCGCUGAACUUAAGCAUAUCACUAAGCGGAGGAAAAGAAACUAACAAGGAUUCCCUUAGUAACGGCGAGUGAACAGGGAAAAGCCCAGCACCGAAGCCUAUGGUCGUUUGGCCAUCAGGCAAUGUGGUGUUUAGGUCGUUCCGCAGACGCACUGCUCCACCCUAAGUCCAAUAAUGAGUACGGUGGUACGGACAUGGCCCAUUGAGGGUGAAAGGCCCGUGGGGGUGGAGAUCAGGCGAGACAGUGCUACUCUGGGAGGACCUUGGAGUCGGGUUGUUUGUGAAUGCAGCCCAAAGUGGGUGGUAAACUCCAUCCAA
rnacentral:rRNA from 1 species